UACGGGGGGGGCAAGCGUUGUUCGGAAUUACUGGGCGUAAAGGGUCUGUAGGUGGCCAACUAAGUCAGACGUGAAAUCCCUCAGCUUAACUGGGGAACUGCGUCUGAGACUGGAUGGCUCGAGUGCAGGAGAGGAAUGCGGAAUUCCAGGUGUAGCGGUGAAAUGCGUAGAUAUCGUAAGGAAGACCAGUGGCGAAGGCGGGUCUCUGGACAGUUCCUGACGCUGAGGCACGAAGGCCAGGGGAGCAAACGGG
rnacentral:rRNA from 1 species